GGGACAAAUUGGAGUUUAAUGGCCGAGGUGAUAUUGCCUCAAAGUUUGAUGACCAGGAAUAUAAAUUACCCAAAAUAACAUUGUCAUAAUCAUAGAAAUAUUUUGUUUAGAUAAUUGAAUUUGUCUUCGCAAUUGUCCACUUGCGUGUCAAACAAGGGCAAAUGGAAUGUCAUAUCAUAUCAGCUAUGCCAAUUUUCUAACCAAAUCAUGGCAUCAAGGAAACUUUAGUUCAUCCACAUAAUACAAAUGAUUCACCAAAAAGGCAAGAGAGUUUCAUAAGAAUGGGCACCUGCAUGACACACUCAAGCGAGUAGGUUAACCACAGCAAUUAUUGUAUGUCUAAAAUGCACUUUUAUUGUUCAUGUCAAUGGCAUAGAACUCUAAUAUCAAGAUAAACAAAUAUCACAACCACAUUGAAGACCAUAUCGUACAAAAAUGCUCAACAUGGAUGCUAACAAGCAUGCCGGCACCCUGGUUAAACACAACAUCUGAA
rnacentral:misc_RNA from 1 species